rnacentral:rRNA from 1 species
CCUACGGGAGGCAGCAGUGAGGAAUAUUGGUCAAUGGACGCAAGUCUGAACCAGCCAUGCCGCGUGCAGGAAGACGGCUCUAUGAGUUGUAAACUGCUUUUGUACGAGGAUAAACGCAGAUACGCGUACCUGUCUGAAAGUACCGUAUGAAUAAGGAUCGGCUAACUCCGUGCCAGCAGCCGCGGUAAUACGGAGGAUCCAAGCGUUAUCCGGAUUUAUUGGGUUUAAAGGGUGCGUAGGCGGUCGGUUAAGUUAGAGGUGAAAUUCCGAGGCUCAACCUUGGAAUUGCCUGUGAUACUGGUCGGCUAGAGUGUAGUUGCGGUAGGCGGAAUGUGUGGUGUAGCGGUGAAAUGCUUAGAGAUCAUACAGAACACCGAUUGCGAAGGCAGUUUACCAAGCUACUUCUGACGUUGAGGCACGAAAGCGUGGGGAGCAAACAGGAUUAGAUACCCUAGUAGUC